GAUGAACGCUGGCGGCGUGCCUAAUACAUGCAAGUCGAGCGAACGGACGAGAAGCUUGCUUCUCUGAUGUUAGCGGCGGACGGGUGAGUAACACGUGGAUAACCUACCUAUAAGACUGGGAUAACUUCGGGAAACCGUAGCUAAUACCGGAUAAUAUUUUGAACCGCAUGGUUCAAAAGUGAAAGACGGUCUUGCUGUCACUUAUAGAUGGAUCCGCGCUGCAUUAGCUAGUUGGUAAGGUAACGGCUUACCAAGGCAACGAUGCAUAGCCGACCUGAGAGGGUGAUCGACCACACUGGAACUGAGACACGGUCCAGACUCCUACGGGAGGCAGCAGUAGGGAAUCUUCCGCAAAGGGCGAAAGCCUGACGGAGCAACGCCGCGUGAGUGAUGAAGGUCUUCGGAUCGUAAAACUCUGUUAUUAGGGAAGAACAUAUGUGUAAGUAACUGUGCACAUCUUGACGGUACCUAAUCAGAAAGCCACGGCUAACUACGUG
rnacentral:rRNA from 1 species